CAGAGAUCUCUCUGUCAGUCUCACACGGCCACGUGAGGACUUGGCCACCUGCAAGUCAGGAAGAGAGGACUUGCCAGAGACCAACCGUCCUGACACCUUGAUCUUUGAUCCCUUGGACUUCCAGAACUGUGAGAGAACAGAUUUUCAUUGCCUGAGCCAUUAGACUUUGGUAUUUUAUUACGGCAGCCAGCGUGGACUAAGACAUCUACCUUCAGCUUUGACAGAUGUCGGACUGAGAGUGACCCUAUGAUUUUUCAUUCCCAACAGCAAACAAGGAGAUUCCUGUUUUUCCGCCUCUUUUUACCAGAUUGUGGUCCUCUCAGGUUUUUCCCUUUGGCUUUUAAUUACUCUAAUAGUUAUGCAGUAAUAUCUCAUAGUUCAACUUGUGAUUCCCUACGCUCAUUACUUUUCAUUUUCAUCGUUGGUUGCUUUGCCGUCUGCACGCCUUCUUGGGUGAGAUAUUGCUUCAUGUUUUUUACUCAGUUUUAAUUGGAUUUUUUUUUUUUUGCUGCAUUUCAAGAGCUUUUCUUUUAGAUAUGAAUUCUUUCCCAGCAUAUGUUUUGCAAAUAUUUUCUUCCUGCUCAUGGUUUAUCUGUCAUUCUGUCAAAACAUCUUUUGCAGAGCCAGAUUUUAAAAUUUUAAUAUAGUCUGAUAAGUCAUUUUUUCCCCCUCUUCAUGGAUUGUGUUUUGGGUUAAUCUUAAAACUCAUUUUCAAAUGCAUUGUUAUCUAUAAUUUCUCCUGUUUUCUUUGAGAAAUUUUAUAAAAUGCUACAUUUAGGCCUGUGAUCUAUUCUGUUAAUUUUUGUGAAGGGUGUAAGGUCCAUGUUUGAUAACACAACUCUCUGUAUUACCUUUCACUUAUAAAUCCCCAAUUGGCCUAUAUCACUUGUUUAAAAAGGCUAGCAUUUUUUUCCACUACCAAGAAUUAGUAAAUGUGGUGGUAUCAAGUUAAGAACUUUGGCUUAGCAAAGAAAACACUCGCAUGAAGACAAGCCUACAGAAUAGGAGAAAAUCUUCACCAGCUACAUUUCCAAGAGAAGAUUAAUAUGCUGCAGACUCUACAAAGAACUCCAGAUAUUGAUCCCCCAAACCAAGUAACCCAAUCAGUAAACAGACAGGUGACCUAAAUAGACAUUUCGCAAAACAAAAUACACAGAUGGCCAAUGAAUAUAUGAAAAACUGUUCGACAUAUUUAGCAAUCAGGGAGAUGCAAAUCAAAAGGACACUGAGAUUUCAUCUCACUCCAGUUAGGAUGGCAGCCCUCAAGGUUACACAUAAUAAUAAAUGCAUGAGAAAAUGUGGGGGUAAAAGAACACAUAGACACUGUUGGGAUUGUAAAUUAGUACAAUGACUUUGUAAGUCAGUAUUGGGGUUCCUCCAAAGACGAGGAAUGAAGCCACCUGACCCAGUAUACUACUCCUCAGUACUUAUCUUAAAGAAUUAAGGUCAACAUAUUAUAAAGAUGUUUGCAUACCCAUACUUAUAGCAGUGCAAUCCACAGUAGCCAAGUUGUGGAGACAGCCUAGGUGUCUGACUGCGGAUGAAGAAAAUGUGGUAUAUACACACACCGUGGAGUCUUUUCCAACCACAAAGAAGACCAGGAUCAUGGCAUUUGCAGGAAAAUGGAACUGGAGAGCACUAUGUUAAGUGAGAUAAGUCAAACUCAGGAAGUCAAGGGUCUUAUGUUUUCUCUCAUAUGUGAAGGCUAGAGAGGAAAAAAGAUGAAAAGGAAGCCCCGUGGGGGGUCUCAUGAAAUCAGAAGGAGACCACUGGAGUAGAGGUAGGGGACUCACACUGAGGGAGGGAGACAGGGAGCACUGGGGAAUGAAAUGGACCAAAUUCUGUUCUGUGCGCGUGUUCGAAUAUGUCACAGUGAAUCCUACUACUGUGAUCAUAACGCACCAAUAAAAAGUUAAUUAAGAAAGACUCAUUUCUCCACUGAGUCACCCUGAGAUCUGAGGCCAGGAUGUUUAUCUUGGUCCACUUCUUUUUAUCCUGUUCUAUGACCUCGGCUUUGUGCUGUCAUCCCACUUCUAGGCUGACUUGAUCUUGGUCGCUUAGCAUGACACUCCCAGGGGGCGUGAGUCCCCUGAAGUCCUUUGUCUUCCCCAUUUCCCUCUCCCCCACCUUUACCCUUUCCUUAGGGUUGCCUCGGCUAUUCUAGGAAUUUUGUCUUUCCAUAUAAACUUUUAGGAUCAGAGUACAGCUUGCUGAGGUUUUAUUGGGAUUUCAUUGAAUGGAACUGGGAAGAAUUGAUAUUGGAAGAAUAUUAUUGAGUGUUUGCCGUUGUUUUUGAUCUCCUCCCUCAUAGUUGGUCAUUUUUUUUUUUUUUUUUUGCACAUGGAUCCUGGGCAUUUUGAAAAUUAGUUUUAGGCCUGAAUCGUUUACUUCUUGGUGCUAUUGUAAAUGGUAUUAUGUUUUGGAUUUCAAAUUCCGGUUGCUCAUUGCUAGUAGGCAGGAAAGUGAUUGUGAAGGGUGUAAGGUCCAUGUUUGAUAAAACUUUCUGUGUUAGGUUUCACAUCCUGCAACUUGGCUGUGCUUAAUUUUAAUUCUAAGAACUUUUUAUUGAUUGUUUCAGAUUUUCUUCAUAGAUAAUCAUGUUAUCUGUGAAUAGAGACAGUUUCAUUUUUUCCUUUCACUUCCUUUUCUUGACCCACCAUGCUAGCCAGGGUUUCCGGGGCAGGGUGGAUUGUACUGGGGAGCGUGGACUUCUUUCUCUUUUCCUGUCUUAGGAACAAAGUGUCCAGUUUUUGAUUAGCUAUGAUCUUAAUUCUAGGUAUUUUAAAAACACAUUCUUUACCAAGUUCAGGAAGUUUUCCUCUAUUCUUAUUUUGCUAUUUUUUAAAAAUAAUCCUGAAUAAGUACGUUAUUAAAAAUAACUUUCCUGCAUCAGUUGAUCAUAUGACUUUUUUCUUCAGUCUGUGGGUGUGGUGGAUUACUGCAAUGGAUUUUUCAAAUCCUGAACCAGCUGUGCAUCCUUUGCAAAUCCCAAUUGGUUGUGGGGUUAUUAUUUUUGUUUUAUCAAUGGUUCAAAUGACGAUUCAAAUAAAAUUCUCAAGGUGGAAAAUUUGCUAUAUAUCAUCAUUCUUUUAAGAUUAAUAGCACCCACUCUUACCUCUUUGUCUCUUGUUUUUGCAGAUCAAGUCAGCUGCUUUACAUCAUUCCCACGGAGCCACAUCCGCAGCCCUAUUUUGUAUUUUAUUGAGAGACAGGUUCUCACUGAGUUGCUUAGCGCCUCACCAUUGCUGAGGCUGGCUGUGAACUCUGAUCCUCCUAUCUCGGCUGCUGGGUUUACAGGUGUGCACCACCGCGCCUGGCUCCUUUGAUCAUUUACUAGCUGGGAUACUUCUAUAAAGAAGUAUUUGAUACCCAGUGGGAGAUUUAUAUAGAAAAGGAAGGAUAAAUAUUUGAUUGUUUAUUUACCAUUUUUCAAAAUCAUAUUAAUUUCCCCAAUGAGUUUUUUUUUUUAAACUACCAUUAUGUACUCAGGGAUUUAAAUAGCUUCUCAUGUUUUAAUCCAGUGCCCUUACUAUCUUUACUGUCACCCCGAUUGUCCCUUCUGAGGCUCUGAUUCCUUUUGCCGUGACCCUAGGAGUUUUAGCUUCUCCGUUGCUCUCAGACGUGAGGAGUGGCUCGGGGUGCCUCUCGGACCCCUGCUGCACAGACCCGAGUGCUCCCUUCCUCAGGAGCCUGUUCCCUUCCGUGGGAGAUGGAGGGAUGGAAAUUGUCAUGCUUCACAGACUUUCAACAGGAAGUGGGAGACCCGGGCUGAGCCAUCCGGGCCCGCCCCCCCCGCACAUGUGUCCUGGGUUGCGAAAACUUCCCACAAAGUGCCUUUGUUUGUCUUUUGCUGGGGGCCCUGGGGUUGCUCCCAUUCGAGUCGAGUUUUUACGUUCAUUUCUUGGCUCACGGUGCCCUGACCACAUUAAUAGUGCAAAUUUGGAACUCUGACAUGCAUGUGGCCCAGCUUGAGGUUUGGAUUUCUCACGGGAAGGCUUUUUCCCUCCUGUUCAGAGCCCCAGGCAGAUGCUGGGAUGGCUUGGUGCAUCCCUGGCUGGCAGCUGGAAUCCUCUAGUGCCUUAUUCUCGAGGCAGGGGGAGGGGGAGGUGCCCGGAGAACCCUUUUAGUCUCCCAGGUGCAGUUGCUGGGGCCCAGUUCUCUGGGCCCACGGCCGCAGCCUGCACCACCCACCCGCAUCCAGGGCACAGUUUUUGUUCCUGUUCGAACCUUUGGUUCAUUUGUGGCCCCUAUAGCUCCUUCUUCUCUCCUUUGAGCUUUGCUAGAGGUAGCUACACUGAAGUUGCAGUAGCAUUUCCAAACCUGGCCCCUUCCUCUUACCAAACAGGCCACCCUCUGUGUGGCUCCAUCUUUUCUGUGAUGUUGGGAGUGUGGGUCACUCCUGCCCCGUCCGCUGCCUCCCCCACACGGUGGGACAUUUCAACACGUCCGGGCAUGGGGGCUUCUCCUGCCCGGGAGGGUUGGAUGCGUGCCACCUGUCCGCCUCCGAGCAGCGCGUGAUUGUCCGAGGGCCGUGCCACCCCCAGGCCACUCCUCGGUCCCUGGAGGGCCUGCCUCUGCCAUCUUCUCAUUCUGUUCCAGGUCACUUUUGAAGACUGCAGUUUUGGGGGCCUCCUGUGAUUCCCUCAUCCUUCCUUAGCAACGGCUCCCCGGGAAGGAGGCACAGACACAGUCUUCAGCCAGCCCUGUCAGAGCCAGGUAGUCCCCAGGGGGCUGGGCAUAAGGACAGUGUGAUGACAGGCGAGCACAGGUGGGUGAAGCCAUGACACUCCCUCUGGGCAUGUCCCCAAGACGGUGAAGACAAAGGUCUGUUCUCUCUCUGUGUGUGGUUUCUUCUGUCCCGUCUCACAGUUAAUGAGAGACUGAUGAUGUCCCUCGGCUUCUAGUUCAGAGUCACUAUAUGCAAAUGUGACACUUUCCUAUUUUAUUACCACCGCCACCCCCCCCCCAAAAAAAAAAAGAUGUCAGAAGGUGGAGGUCAUCGAAGGUUUGCUCCGAAUGCUGCGAAUUAUUGACCCUUGGAGCAAGACUUGCUUUGCUGGGACCCUGGGACAUCACAUUUCCCUCUUCAGUUUAAUAACACAGGAUUUCUCUCAAGCAGGAGUGAUGUAGCCGUGAAGUCUCGGUGACCCGCAGAGGAUGCUGAUGUCACCUUGGCCACACGCGUAUACAGUUUCCAAGGAGCUGGCUGUGCUAGGUGUAUAUAAAUGGCACAGAGGCAAGAACCAGGGAGCCGUUUUCUGACCUAGUAACCGUUGCUUAGUAACGAAACCUAGAACUCAGGAAACGGCAGUGAUGACAUGGGACGAUCGCUAGAUCUGGAAACAGAAGAUUUAGGGGGACGUUGCAGUCCUGCUACAGAUGUGUGACCUAGUGGAUUCGUUUUAACGUCCCAUAAGUGGGUCUUCUGCUGGCCACAGCAGGAGGGUGGGGGUGCUCUGUGGAUCAGAUGGCACUGAGGAAGGGAGAAAGGUGUGUGAGCAGCAUGCGGCACUUCAGGUGCACAGACCCCUCUGCGCCAUGUCCCCAAAUGGCCUCAGAGAAGGCAGCACCCUGGUCACGGUGAUUCCAUGUCCCUGGCAUGUCCACCCCCUUGAGCUCUCUGAUUCAAGGGCUCCCUCUGGUUCAUCUCACUUUCCCCCUGCCUAGAACCCUGCUUGGCAUCUGGUAAAAUCUCUCUGGACAAAAAUUUCUUUUUCCCCUUUUCUGGAAUAUAUAUACCCAGGCCAUUUAUUCAGUAUAUAUUUAGAUAUUUUUCUCAGGACCCAAAUUCACUUCAUUUUUGCUUCAGAUAUCAAAGUUGUGGUGAGGAACACCCUACACAUGUUGAAUAUUCUUUAUCCAAAAAUGUUUGGAACCCAUCGUCUCUUGGAUAUUUUGGGUUUUUGGAAUAUUUGCAUAAAUGUAAUAAGAUGUCUUGGGGGAUGGGACCUAAAUCCAAACACAAAAUUCACUUAUGUUUUCUGUACCUUAUACAAAUAGCCUGAAGGUAACUUUAUAAGAUAAUUUUAGAGCACCUGCAUUUUGACUGAAACCCAUUGUGUUAGUCAGCUUUCUGUCACUGUGACAAAAUGCCGGAGACAAUCAGCUUAAAGAGCAGGAAAGUUUUAUUUUGGCUCAUAGUUUCAGAAGUUCCAGUCCGUGAUCAGUUGGCCCUGUUGUUUGGGCCUGUGGCAAGGCAAUCCAUCCCGGUGGGGAGAACAUGGUGGACCAACCUGCUCACUUCAUGACAGCAGAGAAGCAGAGAGAGAGAGAGAGGAGGAGAAAGGGACAGGAGCUCCACAGGCCCCUUCAAGGGCUUGUCCCCUCAAUGACUUCACUCCGUUCCAGUAGAUUCCACCUCCUGAAGGUUCCACCACCUCCCAAACACCAUGGCCUGAGGACCAAGCCUUCGGCCUUGGUUUUCGGGGGACCCUUAUCCAAUCAUAGCCUCUGUCACACGAGGUCAGGUGUGGAAUUUUCCAUUUGAGGUUCUCAAAAAACUCUCAGAUUUUGGAGCCUUUAAGGUUCUUGGAUUUUCAGACUCAGGAUGCUCCACGUUGGCCAUUUUCCUGGUGUUGGGGAGGAGAGGAGAACAGGAAGAGACAGGUCCUCCUGUCCUGAAGCUGGACCUUGAACUUUCUUUCCAGGAGCCCUACAGGAACACAGGGGCAGAGGUCCCCUGUGGAAAGGGAUGGGUACAAUGAAUCCAUUUUGGAUCAGAAAAGGGAAUGUACUUGGACGCCCUACAGAGGGACAAAACGGUGACUUUGUGUGACUUGCUGGCCUGAGCGAACCUCUGCGGUCCCUGAGCCUCGGUUCCUUAUCUGUAGGUUGGGGACAGGAAUCCGUCCUGGAGACAGUCACUUGCUGAGCUAACUGGAGUGACGUAGCAACGCCCCGGCCCAGCGUCUGGGCGGUGGCUUGGUGACAGAUGCCCGUCCCCUCCCCCACUCCCUGAUUCCCACCGGGUUCUCUGAGAUCUCGUCUUCAGGAGGACAGAACAUCGGAAGCAUCUUGCCCUGGGCCACCUGGGUCCUCUCCACGUUCAGCUUCCCCUCCGUGGGCUCAGGACUUGGCCUCAGUGGGGACUGUCAUGUAUGCAACUUGGGACCGACCAGACAGUGUCUGACUCCCAAGUCAAAGACUUUGAAUGAAAAUGGCCAACAGAUGGGAGCUUCACAGCUGGGAGCAGUUAGAUCACAAAUGCAAAGCCCUUUGUUCCAACAGCCCUUUGUUCCAGAGGUUGACAGUUUGUCUGAAAAUGGUGUGUGAUUAAGUCAAC
rnacentral:lncRNA from 1 species